rnacentral:misc_RNA from 1 species
AGUAAAGUCGUAACAAGGUUUCCGUAGGUGAACCUGCGGAGGAUCAUUAUAAAUGGUCUACGUUUUUAAGUAGACGCUUAAUAAUCCUACCCUUUGUGAAUUGUUGUUUUGAAAUAAUUUUUUUUAAAAUAUUGAUUGUCUUCCCUGUUGAAUGGUUGUCUUAAUGGCAAAUGAUUCGCAGGGAGUGUCAGUAUUUUAAAAAGACCUUUUUUAAAAUUAAACUUUUGUAUUCAUUUGUCUAAAAAUUAUUUUUAUAAUAUAAAACAACUUUUGACAAUGGAUCUCUUGGUUCUCGCAACGAUGAAGAACGCAGCAAAAUGCGAUAAGUAGUGUGAAUUGCAGAAUACGUGAAUCAUCGAAUCUUCGAACGCAAUAUUGCACUUUUUUAGUUUACUAAAAAGUAUGUCUGUUUGAGUAUCAGUAAAAUAUACUCAUAAAAACUUUUUGUUUUAUGGUUAUGAGUGUUUUACAACGAUACAAGUUGUUCACUUUAAUUUUUUUAAAAUUUGAAUUUUUCUAAUUUUAAAAUAAAUUGGAUAAAAUUUUCCCGUAAAAGGAAUAACCUAAACAAUUUUAAUUUUGAUUAGAAUUCUUCAAUUAAAAGGAAAUUUAACUAAUAACUUGAUCUCAAUCAGAUAAGAGUACCCGCUGAACUUAAGCAUAUCAAUAAGCGGAGGAAAGAAACUAACAAGGAUUCCUUAGUAACGGCGAGUGAAGCGGGAAGAGCUCAAAUUUGAAAUCUUCAAGGUUUUACCUUGACGAAUUGUAGUUUAAAGAAGUGUUUCUGUUGAAGUUUUGGUAAAAGUUCUUGGAAUAGACAUCAUAGAGGGUGAGAAUCCCGUAUUUGACAUUAUUUCAGCUGUGUGAUACACUUUCAAAGAGUCGGUUGUUUGGAAUGCAGUCCAAAUGGGUGGUAAAUUUCAUCUAAGGCUAAUAUUGCGAGAGACCGAUAGCGAACAAGUACCGUGAGGAAAGAUGAAAGAACUUGAAAGAGAGUUAAACAGUACGUGAAAUUGUCAAAAGGGAAGCGUUUGACACCAGUGUUGUUUUCUCGAAAUCAAUUAAAAAGUUGGAUUUUGUGUUGUGUAUGACUUAACAGCUUGCUUCACUCUUUCUUGCUUUUUUUAAUGCACUUUUCGUUCAACAAGUCAACAUCAGUUUCUUUUGUGUAAAAGGGUCAUUGGAGGUGGCUUUCUCUUCGGAGAAAGUGUUUAUAGCCUUUGAUCUCUGCAAUCGGAGAGACUGAGGUCUGCAGCGUAGAUCCUUCGGGGUUAGAUACAUUUGUGCUAAGCUACAGCUUUUCAUAGACAACUUGUUGACUAUGUUUAGUCUUGUAACUU